AUGGCAAAAGCUGAGUUUAAUUAGCAGCAAAUUGGGCUGAGAGCUGCCAGUCUGGUUUCUGCUCAGGACUUGUGAUGUUCCUGGUGGGAAGUGAUAAAAGGGUCUGUGGGGGGAGCAACACUUCUGCUGGCUGGCAUUUUGGGAUGGAAGUUUGAGAGUUCCCACUUCAACACCGUGCUCUGGUGUCUUGGGAUAAUUGAAAAGGAAACUGGGAUUUGGGAGCACAGCCUGUGACUCUGAAAUCCUGGGGUUUGCUGUUCUCUGGGGUGAUGGUGUUCCUCAAUCCCCACUUCUCCAUCACCAAAUGGAGCAUUUAAAGGGCCAUUCUGGGGCAGCACGGUGGAUUUUUACACUGGGUUUAAUUUAAGUUGGGGUGGGAUUGGAUUCAUGCUCAGGUACAGGAUAUUUGGGGUGUGAUGGAUCCAUGCACAGGUACAGGAUAUUUGGGGUGUGAUGGGAUUGGAUCCUUGCACAGGGACAGGAUAUUUGGGAUGUGAUGGAUCCUUGCUCAGGUACAGGAUAUUUGGGGUGUGAUGGGAUUGGAUCCAUGCUCAGGUACAGGAUAUUUGGGGUGUGAUGGGAUUGGAUCCAUGCUCAGGUACAGGAUAUUUGGGGUGUGAUGGAUCCAUGCUCAGGUACAGGAUAUUUGGGGUGUGAUGGGAUUGGAUCCUUGCACAGGUACAGGAUAUUUGGGAUGUGAUGGAUCCUUGCUCAGGUACAGGAUAUUUGGGGUGUGAUGGGAUUGGAUCCUUGCACAGGUACAGGAUAUUUGGGAUGUGAUGGAUCCUUGCUCAGGUACAGGAUAUUUGGGGUGUGAUGGGAUUGGAUCCUUGCACAGGUACAGGAUAUUUGGGGUGUGAUGGGAUUGGAUCCAUGCUCAGGUACAGGAUAUUUGGGGUGUGAUGGGAUUGGAUUCAUGCUCAGGUACAGGAUAUUUGGGGUGUGAUGGGAUUGGAUCCAUGCUCAGGUACAGGAUAUUUGGGAUGUGAUGGAUCCUUGCACAGGUACAGGAUAUUUGGGGUGUGAUGGGAUUGGAUCCUUGCUCAGGUACAGGAUAUUUGGGGUGUGAUGGAUCCAUGCUCAGGUACAGGAUAUUUGGGA